rnacentral:rRNA from 1 species
UACGUAGGGUGCGAGCGUUUGUCCGGAAUUAUUGGGCGUAAAGAGCUCGUAGGCGGUUUGUCGCGUCUGCUGUGAAAACCCGAGGCUCAACCUCGGGCCUGCAGUGGGUACGGGCAGACUAGAGUGCGGUAGGGGAGAUUGGAAUUCCUGGUGUAGCGGUGAAAUGCGCAGAUAUCAGGAGGAACACCGAUGGCGAAGGCAGGUCUCUGGGCAUUAACUGACGCUGAGGAGCGAAAGCAUGGGGGAGCGAACAGG